GUUCGUGUAUUAAACCUGUUAGCAUCGAUUGAAUCUCAGCGAUGUGAAUGCAGUCUUGACUUAAAGCAGGUGCGAAGAACUGACUAUGGGGACACAGUACGAGUCUGUGGUGCUGGAGUUUAACGGCUUACAAUUUCCAUCAUCUGCAUGUGAUUUGAAGUUCGCCUCAUCCCCAUGAAGGCAUCUCAGCCAUUAGUUCCAAGUGCAAACUGUUUUCUUCUUGCCUCUUUAUCUGUCCCUAACAUUUGGACUUUCAGGGGAUGCUGGAGCAAAGGCAGUCAUGAAACAAAGAAACACAAUGGAAGCCAUUUAAAGUAAACAUCAAACAUCCAACAUGAGAAAAAGAAGAACAAAUCGCACAAACAGCAAAAAGCGAGUAAAUAACAUACAGAGGGAAGGACAGUAGCAUACUGGUUAGCACAAUGCUUUACAGCACCGGUGACCCAGAUUCAAUUCCCGCCACUGCCUUUAAAGAGUUUGCAUGUUCUCCUUGUGACCGCGUGGAUUUCUUCCAGGUACUGUGCUUUUCUUCCAGAGUUCAAAGACGUACCGGUUGAUAGGUUCAUUGAUCAUUGUAAAUUGUCCCAUGAUUAGGCUCAGAUUAAAUCAGGGGAUUGCUGGGUGACGUGGCUCAAAGGGCUGGAAGGGCUUAUUCCAUGCUGUAUCCCAAUAAAUAAAUAAAUAAACAAACAAACAAACAAACAAAUAACUGCAGACUCCCUAAAAUGGUCCAGGAGCCACAGCUGCCAAAUCAGUUCAGUUUAGCACUGUGUCUGUCCCAGUCUGUUCACUUGACCUGGAACACCUCAUGAUCAAGUGCUGUCCAUUUUAUCUGCCUUGGGAGACUUCAGCCAUCAUCUUGGUAGCAGUGUACAUCCCGCCUCAGGCCAGUGUAAAACAUGCUCUAGACAAACUGAAUGAUGUUAUCAACAAACAACAACAUCCUGAUGCCUACCACAUCAUUUUGGGGGAUUUUAACCAGGCCAACUUCAAAAGUCUCUAACUAAUUAUUACCAAAUAGUGGAGAGCACCCCUGUAGCUGUCCCCCUUAACAAUAAGUACUCCAUUUUGAGUACUGUUGAGGGGGAUGAGGUACCGGGGGGAAGCAAUAGUGGCGGUGCCUCUGGCAUUGAGUCUGCCCCAGUGGCACAGAAGGGUAGGGUUCUAAAGAGGAUGGCAGCAGUUAUAGGGGACCCUAUAGUCAGGGGGACAGAUAGGCAAAAGGGAAACAGAGAUGGUGGUUUGCCUCCCAGAUGCCAGGGUCUGAGAUGUUUCUGGACAUGUCCACAAUAUCCUGAAAAGGGAUGAUGACAGCCGGAAGUUGUGGUACAUACUGUAUUGGUACCAAUGACAUAGGAAGGUAAAGGGAGGAGGCCCUGAAAAAAAAGAAUAUAGGGAGUUAGGAAGGAAACUGAGAAGCAGGACCUCAAGGCUACUAAUCUCGGGAUUACUGCCUGUGCUACAUGACAGUAAAGAUAGGAAUAGAAUGAGGUGGCAGAUAAAUGUAUGGCUUAAGAAUUGGAACAGGGGGCAGGGAUUUAGAUUUCUGGAUAAUUGGGACCUUUUCUGGGGCAGGUGGGACCUGUACAAAAGGAACGGGUUGCAUUUGAAUACAGUAUUCUUGUGGGCAGGUUUACUAGAGCUGUUGGAAGUGGUUUAAACUAAUUUGUCGGGGGAUGGGAAACAGUAUGAUAGAGCUGAGGAUGAGCCAGCAGGUUUACAAGUAGAUGAUCGGUGUAACAUGAAUGUAAGGAAGGACAAGCCAAUGAUUGGGUACAAAUGCAGACAGAGCAAAUAGUUAAAUUAUACCACAGAGGCAAAAUUCAAAAGGGCAAAAAAUAUAGGACUGAAGGUGCUCUAUUUAAGUAAGUACAGCAUUCAGAAUAAGGUGGACGAACUCCUGGCACAAUUAGCGAUUGGUCAGUAUGACAUUGUGGACAGCACUGAGUCAUGGCUGAAAGAAGGCCAUAGUUAGGAGCUUAACGUCAAAGGAUAUACUUUGUAUCAUAUAGGCGGUGUUGUGUCUCUGUUGGUAAGAGAUGGAAUUAUAUCUUUAGAAAGAGGUGACAUAGGAUGUUGAGUGUUGAAUCUUUGUGGGUGGAGUUAAGAGAUUGCAAGGUUAAAAAAAAACAUUAUGGGAAUCAUAUAUAGGCCUCCAAAUAGUGGCCAAGAUGUGGGGUUGUGAUUGUAAAAGGAGCUGGAAAGGGCAUGUAAUAAGGGUAAUGACACAAUUGUAUUGGGGGACUUCAAUAUGCAAGGGGAUUGGGAAAAACAGUUUGGUGUCGGAUCGCAAGAGAGGAAAUUUGUUGAAUGCCUACAAAAUGGCUUUUUAGAACAGCUUGUGUUUGAGCCGCCUCAGGGAAAGGCUAUCUUAGAUUGGGUGUUGCAUAAUAACCCAGAUCUUAUUAGGGAGCUUAACAUAAAGGAACCCUUAGGAGGCAGUGAUCAUAAUAUGAUUGAAUUCAUAUCGUAAUUUGAAAGGGAGAAGAAUAACUCACAUCUAUCAGAAUCACAAUGGAAUAAAGGGAAUUAUGGAGGCAUGAGAGAGGAGCUUGCCCAGGCAGACUGGAGGAUGAUAAUGGCAGGAAUGAUGGCCCAGCAGAGAUGCUGAAGUUUCUAAGAAUAGUUCACAAGGCACAGGAUAGAUAUGUCCCACAAUGGAAGAAGUUCUCAAAUGGAAGGGGUAGGCAAUGGUGGCUGACAAAGGAAGUUAAGGACUGCAUAAAAGCUAAGCAAAGGGCAUAUAAGGUAGGAAAAUAAAGUGGAAAGUUGGAUGAUUGUGAAGCUUUUAAGGUCCAACAAAAGGCAACUAAAAAGCUAUAAGAGGGGAAAAGAUUAAAUAUAAGGACAGAAUUGCCCUAAGUAUAAAGUAGGAUAGCAAAAGUACUUUUCAGUUAUAUAAAGAGGUGAGAAUUGAUACUGGAUGACUGGAGAAUGAUGCUGGUGACGUAGUAAUGGGGGAUAAAGAAAAGGCAGAUGAACUUAAUGGGUACUUUGCAUUUGUCUUCUGUGGAAGACACUAGCAGUAUACCAGAGGUCCAUGAGUGUCAGGGAGCAGGAGUGAGUGCCAUUGCUAUGGCAAAGGAAAAAGUGCUGGGCAAACUUAAAGGUCUUAAAGUGGAUAUGUCACCUGGGCCAAAUUGACUACAUUCCAGAGGUAGCUGAAGAGAUAACGGAUGCAUUGGUCAUGAUCUUUCAAGAAUCUCUUGAUUUUGUCAUGGUCCUGGAGGACUGGAAUAUUGCAACUGUUACUCCAUUCUUUAAGACGGGAGGAAAGCAAAAGAAAGGAAAUUAUAGGCCAGUUAGACUGACCUCAGUGGUUGGGAAAGUGUUGGAGUCUAUUAUUAAAGAUAAGGUUUCAAGGUACUUGGAGACCAUGAUAAAAUUAUUCAAAGACAGUGUGGUUUCUGUCAAGGGAAAACUUGCCUAAAAAAAUCUGCCAGAGUUCUUUGAGGGAGUAACAAGCAGUGUGGAUAAAGGAGAGGUAGUGGAUGCCAUUUACUUGGAUUUUCAGAAGUUUGAUAAGGUGCCACACAUGAGGCUGCUUAACAAGAUAAAAUCCUGUGGCAUUACAGGAAGAUACUGGCAUGGAUAGCGGAAUGGCUGACAGGCAGGAGGUAGUGAGUGAGAAUAAGAUCUUUUCUGGUUGGUUGUCUGUGACUAGUGUUGUCCUCAGGGGUCAGUAUUGGGACUGCUGCUUUUCACAUUGUUUGUCAAUGAUUUACAUAAUGGAAUUUAUGGCUUUGUGGCAAAGAUUGUGAAUGAUAUGAAGAUAGGUGGAGGGGUAGGUAGUGUUGAGGAAGCAAUGUGAUUGCAGCAGGACUUGGAUAAAUUGGAAGAAUGGGCAAAGAAGUGUCAGAUGGAAUAUGUGUUGGGAAAUGUAUGAUAAUGCAUUUUGGUGAAAGGAAGAAUAGUGUGGAUUAUUACCUAAAUGGAGAGAAAUUUCAAACAUCGGAGGUGCAGAGAGUCCUCACACAAGACUCCCAGAAGGUUAAUUUACGGGUUGAGUCUGUGGUAAAGAAGGUAAAUGCAAUGUUGACAUUUAUUUCAAGGGGAAUAGAGUAUAAAAGCGAGGAAAUAAUGCUGAGACUUUAUAAGACACUAGUCAGGCCACACUUACGGUUUUGUUAACAGUUUUGGACCCCAUGUCUCAGAAAGCAAGUGUCAUUGGAGAGAGUCCAGAGGAGGUUCACGAGAAUGGUUCUGGGAAUGAAGGAGUUAACAUAUGAGGAGUGUUUGGCAGCUUUGGGCCCGUACUCACUGGAAUUUAGAAGACUGCGGGGGGAUCUCACUGAAACCUACCGAAUAUUGAAAGGACUAGAUACAGUGGAUGUGGAGAGGAUGAUUCCUGUGAUGGGGGUAUCCAGAACUAGAGGAACACAGCCUCAAAAUUGAGGAUGAUCCUUUAGAACAGAGUUAAGGAGGAAUUUUUUUAGCCAGAGAGUAGUAAAUCUAUGGAAUGCUCUGCCACAGACUGCCGUGGAGGCCAAAUCCGUGGGUAUAUUUAAGGCGGAAGUGGAUUGUUUCCUGAUUGAUCAGGGCAAAAGAUAUGGCAAGAAGACAGCUGUAUGGGUUUGAGUGGGAUCUGGGAUCAGCCAUGAUGGAAUGGCAGAGCAGACUCGAAGGGCUGAAUGGUCUUAUGCUCUACCAACAAAUCACUUGUACUUAACAGAGGAACCAACACAUUGGACCACUGUUACACCACCAUCGAGAGUGCUUACCGUGCUCUUCCAUGCCCACAUUUCAGAAUGUCUGAUCAUCUGGCUGUACUUCUACUCCUUGAGUCCAGGCAGAGUCUGAAGACUGUGGCACCAGCAGCGAGGACCAAGAAGGUAUGGACAAGGGAGGCACAGGAAUGCUUACAGGACUACUUUGAAUUGGUGAACUGGACUGUGUUCAGGGAUUCAUCUUCGAGUUUGAAUGAGUACGCUACAGCUGUCACCAACUUCAUUGAAACCUCUGUGCCUACGAGUACUUACGGUACUUACCCAAAUCAAAAGUCAUGGCUGAACCAGGAGGUUCGUAGUCUGCCAAGGACUAGAUUUGUGGCAUUCAAACCUGGCGACCUAGGUCUGUACAAGAAAACCAGGUACGACUUGCAGAGGGCUAUUUCAGGAACUAAGGAACAAUUCCGAGUAACGUUGAAGGUCAAAUCAGAGGCACGCCAACUCUGGCAGAGUUUGCAGGCUACUACUGCCUACAGAUUGAAGCCUAACAUCAUGAAUGGCAAUGAUGCUUCAAGCCCUGGGAGAAUAAAAUUACAGCUAUGAGGAUACCCGCAGCACCUGGUGAUCCUGUGAUCUCUGUGUUAGACGCUGACGUCAGGCAGUCUUUCAACCCUUGUAAGUGACAGGCCCUGAUGGAGUACCUGGUAGGGCUCCGACAACCAGUGUCAAUCAACUGGCAGGGAUGUUCAAAGGCAUUUUCAAUCACUCAUUGCUACAGUUAGAAGUUCCCACCAACUUCAAAAGAGCAACAAUUAUACCAGUGCCAAAGACAAGCAAGGUGAGCUGCCUUAAUGACUAUUGUCCAGUAGCACUCACAUCUACUGUGAUGAAGUGCUUUGAGAAGUUGGUUAUGUUUAGAAUUAACUUCUGUCUCAGCAAGGACUUGGACCAGCUGCAAUUCGCCUAUCGGCACAAUAGGUCUACAGCAGACAUGAUCUCACUAGCUUUUUAUACAGCCUUGGACCACCUUGACAAUACAAAAACCUAUGUCAGGAUGCUGUUUGUUGACUACAGCCCAGCAUUUAACACCAUCGUUCCUACAGUUCUGAUUGGAAAGCUCUAGAACCUGGGCCUCUGUACCUCCCUCUGCAACUGAAUCCUCAACUUCCUAACCGGAAUAUCACAAUCUGUGACAAUCGGAAAUAACAUCUCCACCACACUGACAAUCAACACUAUCGUACCCCAGAGAUGUGUGCUUAGCCAGUGCUCUACUUUCUCUAUGCCCAUGACUGUGUGGCUAGGUACAGCUCAAAUGCCAACUAUAAAUUUGCUUUCAAUACAACCAUUUUUGGCAGUAUUUCAGUUGGUGACAAAAGGGGGUACAGGAGCAACAUAUAUCAGCUAGUGGAGUGCUGUCGCACUAACAACCUUGCACUCAAUGCCAGUAAGACCUAAGAACUGAUUGUGGACUUCAGAAAGGGUAAGAUGAGGGAACAUAUACCAGUCCUCAUCGACAUAUCAGAAGUGGAGAGAGUGAGCAAUUUCAAGUUCCUGAGUGUCAAUAUCUCUGAGGAUCUAACCUGGACCCAACAUAUCAAUAUAGCAGCAAAGAAGGCACAACAGCAGCUGUAUUUCAUUAGAAGUGUGAGAAGGUUUUAGUAUGUCAGCUAAAAUACUCUAAAAUUUCUACAGUUAUACCAUGGAGAGCAUUCUAACUGGCUGCAUCACUGUCUCGUAUGGGGAGAGAGGGGGACUGCAGGUGAUUGAAGUAAGCACAGUCAGCUCGAUCAUAAUCACUUAGCCUCCAUAGUAUCCAGGACCUGUUGAAGGAACAAUUCCUCAAAAAGUCAGCAUCCAUCUUUAAGGAUCCAUCACCCCGGUCAUGCUUUGUUCUUAUUGCCGCAAAGUCAACAAAUUUCACAACAUAUGCCAGUGAUAUUAAACCUGAUUCUGAUUCUGUGUCGAAGACUGCAGGCUUCAGCCACAGAGCCAGUUCCACACUGAAGCGCCUCAAUCAAAUCUUUCAAACAGCAAAAUAAAGAGCAACCAGAAACACAUGGUAAAUGAACCACAGCAUCCUCCAAAAAUGCGUUCAGCACUGAGGACAUUAAGCAUCAAUCCGUAGUCCUACAAUCUCGAACCAUGCCGAGGUGAUUGAACCAGUACCUUCCUCAGCCAACAGGGAAAGGGAAACCGGUCAAACGUAGGCAGAGGGUGCUGAACACCUGCUUGUCUUCCACUCUCACCCUCAUCGAUUUUAAUCUUGCUCAAUGCUUUGAUUGGUGAGGAGUGACGGAGCCAACCAUGGGUUCACAUUCUGCCAUUGGGAAAUCUUGGCCACACACUUCGCUCUCAUCCUCCCACACCAAAUUCCCCAGGAGAUAGCAAAAGCCUCAGAUUGCACAGUUGGUCCAAAAAUACAUCAUCAAAGUAGAAGUUACAGACUGCAAUUAAUUACAGUUCACGAGAAGAAACAUAUUUAAAAGAAAGAGAAGUGGAAGUAGUUUAAUGAGAUGUCUACAAGAUGUCAUCAUUGGUCGUUGGCACCAUCUUGUUACUAUUAUUCUUGUAAUAACCUUGGUAUUGUUCUGAGGGAUAAAGGUCUUAAGGUUGUUAUAGCUGGGAGUGGUAGUGGGGAUAAGCUUCCACUAAAUAUUAAAUGCUCCCAAUUGUGCUUUUCAAAUAGCCUGUGGCAACCAAGUCCUCUUCCUGGCCUUCACGUGUGGUUUAGCUACCUGGCCCAGCGGAAUUGUUUCUACUGACAGAGGAAGGGGGGGAAAUGGGUUACUGGUGCAUUAAAACCAGUUUCUUCAGGCAGAUUGGGAUAAUCAACUGUGGUUGACCUCUCAUCUAGGAGAAGGAAAGCUCUGAUCUCAAACCUCAGCUGGCUUGUGGCUACACCCAUUCAUGGGGAAGGCUUCAGGAUUAAACUCCGAGGAAAAAUCCAGAACUGGAGUUUAUCUCUAAGGCAACCCUGUGUUGAGUUCAAAGCUGAGGGGCAACUCCUGUGCCACUGGUGCCAAACUGUAUUGGUCUCUGCCAUUUGUUUUGGAUUCAUUAGCCGCACAUAGAGGGGGAGCCUGCUAGAUGGACAACAAUUAGCUCUCCAUAUCGUAUUGCUCUGGCUUGUGUACCAUGUAGAUGGCUAGGAUGCAACAUUCAUGAUCGACCCCAGCCAACAGAGGGCUUCUUAAGGGAUAAAGGAGAUUAAGGACCAGCAGGGCCUAUGGUGCAUUUUGGUACAAGUCUCUGAAGCUGAAAGACAAGUUGAAAAAUGCUCUUAAAAACAAAUAUGGGUUUCUUGACUUUAUCAAGGAGUGGAAAUGCUUUGAAUUAAGCUGGAUCUUUAUGAAACACUGUUAAAGAUCCAUUGGAAGAUUUGUCAAAUAGAUAAUAGGCAUCAUCAUUUUGGAAGACUAUACAGGUUUUAGUCCUGUUGAAGGGUCUUAGCCCAAAACAUCGACUAUUUAUUCCUCUCCAUAGUUGUUGCCUGAAUUGCAGAGUUCCUCCAGCAUUUUGUGUGUAUUGCUUUGGAUUUUCAGCAUCUGCAGAAUAUUUUGGGUUUAAGUUUUUAGAGUGGGUGCAGAGGAGAUCUGUGAGACUAUAAUGAAAAACUUCAUUUAGGUCAAAAGAUCUGGGUUAUUUUCAUUAAAAUAGAAAAUGUUAAGGACAGAUUUAAUAAAGGUGCUCAAAACUCAUGAAGUGUUUCAAUAGAGUGACAUAGGACUGAGGGAACUUGGUAACCAGAUGGCCUAGAUACGUUGUAAUGAGAAAAUGAUAGCAGAGAUGGAGGGGAUAUGUGGAGAUUUUAUCUAUACAGAGGGUUGUUGUGAUAGGAAAUACACUGUCUGAAAAGUUAGUGGAAAUAGAUUUAACAAUAAUCUACUAAAGGGAAAGGUGAACUAUUUGAAAUGGGAAAGAGCAGGAGAACGAGCAAGGGCAUGAGAAUAAUUAGAUGGCUGUCAAAGAAGCUCAAUUGUGUGUGUGUGUUUUAAAAUACAACAGCCAAGUAAUGCAUAGCAAGCUCCCAACGAGUCCCACUAGCCUUCCUCGUAAAAUACAGAUCUAUAGACUUAUUUUAUAAAUGCUAAACACUAUAGAUCUUUGCUAAUUUUACAAGUUGUGUCCAACCUUCCAAGUAUUCGGGAAAAGAAAUUGUGAUUAUAAUCUGCCCCAAAGUUGCACACAAUUCACUGAACUCUGUUGCUACCAUAGUAAUUGAAUGCAUGGUUUCUGCUGAGCAGAGCUUGUUAAAUAAUGAAUGGAUCUAAUCAGGACCAAAUGUCUUGUGUGGAGGUGAAAUGUCACUUUGAACUACUGAGUUACAAAAUGAUUUAUAGUGGAUUAAAAAAAAACAGGUGAACCAUUUUUGAAAUUGUCCAUUAAUGAAGGUGUGCAUAUUAACUGAUGUUACAGAGUUACAGGCACUCUGAACCUACUUUCCUUUCUGUGCAAUGGUCUGUAAGCAGUCAAAUCUCCAACUAUUUCUCCACAUCCCUCUUCACUGUUUCUACUCAUCCAGCCUCUUUCAGUCUCCUAUUUUUCUGUGAACACUUUGCUGGAGAAAGGCAAUGGUUACAAUCUCUGGAGCUAUUGCUUUUGGAAAGGAGUUUCUUAAAGGGAUCAUAUCCUUAUUUGGGAUCAGAGCAUGACUCAGCCUGUGGCUGUCAGAUCAGACUUCGAUCAUCCUUUUAAACAGCUUAUGCAUAUAUUUAUUUGUAUGCAUUUGAUAAUGCAUCUGUGAUGCCACACUGUUGUAAAUUCUAAUACCAAAAAAUUCAAACUGACGGCCUCCAAUCAUUGCAAUAGGGAAAAUACUCUAACAAGCACUAACAAAAUUGCUGCCUUUUCUCAGAAUCAGCUAGGUGAGAAACUUGCAGACUUCCUGAUGUGAUCCUGUGAACAUUAAUACUCCACACUGCAGACAUAAUUGCAAACCUCUGAUCGUAAUGUCAUGUUUUCAUCACCAGCAACAUUCUUUUUAACAACAGAGAGAUUAUAAGUUGAUUUUUAUUUUACUAUGCCAUUUAGAGCUAUUAUUAUCAGGCAAAUAAACAUUUUUAUAUAGAUAUGGAUGAUUGUUAGGUGUAGUGAAGCAGUAAACAUUCAGUCAUCUGGAACUCAUUUUCGCGCUGUCCAUGUCUGCACGUCAAGCCGAUAUGCGUCUUUGAGCAGGCAAUACCUCGGAUGAAGCUAUUAGAUCAAUAGUGUAAGUAAAAUAGUGUUUAGCAUCAACUGCAUCAUGUUGUUUAUUUCCAAAAUUAAAUUGUUGAAGUGGAUGGUAGAAGAAGACAGGAAAAUGUAAUUAACUUUGGAUAGAAGAAGGUUUAAUCUUGGUGGGGGUGGGGUGUCAGGAUGAUACAAGAGCCAGAAGGAUUAAAAUAUGAAGCUAGGUUGCAAAGAUUAAUGCUAUUUUUUUUUGUAUUUAAGAGAAAGUACUCAUUUUUUACAUUAUGGGCCCAGCAGUUCACACGUGCCAUCCUGCUACUUGGUAUUGGCUGACCUAUUUCAUGUGUUCUUACGAGAGGGAAGGAACUUAUUCCGCCAGCUCUCUGUGGCUCAAUUAUAUUCUUCCUCUUACUUCCCUGUAAACUACUGUUUCUCACAUGUACAAUAAUUCCAUCCUGAUCCCCUACCUCCCAGUUCCGGAAUGGAUACUUUACAAUAACCGAUUAACAUAAUAACAAAAGCCUUUGAUGAAACCAAAGCACUCCAGGGAAAUCCACAUGGUCACAGGGAGAACGUACAGACUCCACACAGACAGCUCUGGAGGUCAGGAUUGUUCUUGUGUCAGUACUGUACCCGAUUAACUUGGUAACACACAUGUUUGAGAGGAAAGCAGAACAUUGGGGAAUCUCACAUGGUCACAAGUAGAAUGUACAGAAUCCACACAGAUAUCUCUGGAGGUUAGGAUUGAUUUUCUAUCACUGAAGCUAUGAGGCAUCUGUACUAUCUGCCAUGCCACAUAUGCUGUGCACUUUAGCAACUGGUUAAGUAAAUUCCCCACGAGCAGUUGUAUAUGAUGGCAGCCUGUCUUAAAUUUCUCACUAUUUUAUUCCCUUUAAUUUCUAAUCAUGCAUUUUACACCACAGCAUGAAAACAACUGACCGAUUGUUUUAAUCCAAUGCCUGCCACAACUGCCAAGGUGAAAUUGUGUAUCCUUUCCUUAACUACUAUUUCUCUCAAUCCUAUGGUUGGGAUUUUCCUGUGGGUUUCUAGUGAAGUUGCAGGGGGCAGGGAAUUGCAUUCUUUGUAAAAAGAAAUGCGAUUCCCUUUGUAAACUGUCCCUGGACAACAUUAAGCUUAUGGAUUUAUUUUGGUUUAAUUAAGUGAACUACUUCAACAAAUAAAUAUGUAUGCAUUUGUGUCAUGCAUUUAUGCGCAGUUAAAUAUACAAAUGAUGAUAAACCAUACAAAAAUCAUGUAACGAAAUAGUCACAGUGCCCACAGACUGAAUGGUUUGGGUUAAUCCACUAACCUGCCCGACUUUCCAGACAACAACUGAUUUGUGGUACAUUUCCAGUCUUUCCGCUUUUCCUGGCACUCACAUUAUUAAUCUAGUGCUACACAAUGUGUUUUUGUACCUGUGGUAAUCUGUGUGGUCAAUGUUUAAGUGCUUCUGGCAUCAUGCUGAUUUUACUGAUAUCAAGUUCAUAUUUAUAAAUAUGGAUCAGUGCCAUAUGAUUUCAAUAACAAGAAAUAAAGCCAGCAUAACAACUUUCAGACACUAAUGAAACUUCCAUAGGAUUUAAAGGAACUAUCUGCUAUAAGGGGUAGCCAGGCUGAUAAAAUGUAAGAGUCAAAUAUGAUUGCAAAAGCACUAUAACCAUCCAAAUGUGAAAAUAUAAGCAUUCCAAUUUCUUAUAGUUAAUGCGUUUUAUAAUAGGAAAUAGUGAUUCUAAAGGCAGAAUUGAGAUUAUUAAAAUCUUAACAGAUGUAAGUAAACAUGCAAUCAGAUUUCUUUAAUGUUAGGUACUUAAAAUGUGAAGUAUAACUUGUGAAUACAUGCUGAGCUGAAAGAUAUGUAUAUGGAUCUAACAUGAUACUCAAAUGGCUAGUUGUUUCACCUAAAUAGAGAAACCUUUGCAAGUAAACAGCUCUACAAAUAUGACAUUCAUUGUGUUACUCAGAGUUAUUUAACAUCAGAGGAUCAAAUGCACUAUCAGUAACACAACAGGGUCAGGGUUUUUACUGACCUAUGCAUGUUAUUCUAAAUUCAGUGCUGCACUGGAGAACAAGCGCAUGUUAAUUCUCUGUAUAAUAGAUGGCAUGAUCAGAUUUUGAAAAUUCUACCCAAAUUAUGCGAUUGCAUUGUUAGUAAAACAAAGGUAAAUAACAUAAAAUGUCCAUUUGGUCUGCUUCACUACAGACCCUUAAAAACUCUGCAAAGGACAACAUGAUUAUAGUUAUCGAUAAAUGUAUGCAAAGAGUGUAUUUAAUACAUGUCCUGAUAUUUUGCAUCCACAUGUAUAUUCAUGUUUACAUGGAUAUGACAUUUAAGUAUGUAUGGUAUACUCUUCAAAGCUGCAUCAGUGAAUUUUGCAGGCUUUGGUUUGAUUAUAUUCUUUGUAUUUUAUUUUGGAAGAUAACCUGGAAAGUACUCUGGCUAUUUUAUUCAUGUUUGUUUUUCACUGAUUGUGCAGUCUUUUCAACCCAAUCUGUUGCAGAAGAAUGUAUUUGUAACUUAUUAUCAUAACUAAUGCA